rnacentral:rRNA from 1 species
AGAGUGAACGCUGGCGGUAGGCCUAACACAUGCAAGUCGAACGGCAGCACAGUGGUAGCAAUACCAUGGGUGGCGAGUGGCGGACGGGUGAGGAAUACAUCGGAAUCUACCUUUUCGUGGGGGAUAACGUAGGGAAACUUACGCUAAUACCGCAUACGCCCUUCGGGGGAAAGCCGGGGAUCGCAAGACCUGGCGCGGAUAGAUGAGCCGAUGUCGGAUUAGCUAGUUGGUGAGGUAAUGGCUCACCAAGGCGACGAUCCGUAGCUGGUCUGAGAGGAUGAUCAGCCACACUGGAACUGAGGCACGGUCCAGACUCCUACGGGGAGCAGCAGGUGGGGAAUAUUGGACAAGUGGGG